GGCGCGGUAGCUCAGUCGGUUAGAGCGUCGGAUUCAUAACCCGGAGGUCGAGGGUUCGACUCCCUCCCGCGCCAC
rnacentral:tRNA from 1 species